rnacentral:rRNA from 1 species
AACAUAGUUUUAUGCAUUUAUAUAAAAUAUUUUCUGCCCAAGGUUUUUAAAAAAUCAAGGGCCGCAGUACCUUGACUGUGCUAAGGUAGCAUAAUCAAUUGGCUUUUAAUUAAGGUCUAGAAUGAAUGGGAUAAUGAAGUUAAUCUGUCUUAGUUGCUUUUAUUAAAAUUUAUUUAAAAGGUGAAAAUACCUUUUUUAAAAAUAAAGACGAGAAGACCCUUAGAAUUUUUAUUAUUUUUUUUUGUUGGGGCGACAGUUUAAAAUAUAAUCUUAAAUUUAUGUAUAUAUAUAUAUAACGAUUUUUUUAAUAGAAAUUAAAUUACCUUAGGGAUAACAGCAUAAUUAAUUAUUUAGUUUGUGACCUCGAUGUUGGACUAGGAACUAUAUGGCUAACCGUCUAAUUAGAUUUGUUCUGUUCG